AGCCCCAAAGACGUCCUUCCACGGCCAGCAAAGCAUCCAAGGAUCCCUCGCAGAGGGUGACUGCCACUUUCAGAGCGUUCCUAAGUGAAAACAUGGACCCGGAGUUGGUGCCCCGGCUCUGAGGCCCAGACCCACAGAAGCCAUGCCCAGAUUCAACGACAUCACCAGUGGGCUUCAAUGAUAUCACCAGUGAGCCGUCUGAAAACAAACGGACAAGACCCCAAGUCAGACAUUCUAGAAUACGGUCAGCCUAAAAGCCGUCGAGCAACGAUCUUAUUGGUCACAAAGAUGGAUGAAGUAUUUGAGGCCCACGGAGUCACCGUAGCAGAGCAGGGAAUCUGGGAAGCAGAGAUAGCUCUGUUCGGAGAAAGUCUGCGGGGCCAGCAGCGGGUGUAACAGCUGACCCGCCCUGCUUAUUAGAAUCACCGACUCCAAGAAUCAUCUCCACCGACGGCCAGCCUUUCUGUUUAGCGCCAGGUUGACCCAAGAUGGUCGUGGCCGCUGGGAAACUUUGACUCUUCUUCCUCCCAGGGGCCCCGAGAAAGCCCCUUCGAUGGUGGCGACAGCAGGACGAAGCUGGUGUGAUUUCAGCCUCGGACGCGGACGGGCCGGUGUGACGGCCACGUCCCCGCCGUCGGGGGGUCCCGAUGUCGGACGACGCCCGUAUUGGCCGGCGCGGCUGAGCAACGAAGGUUCACCCGCACGAAUGCACUGGGGGCCAGGGAGGUCCCAGGAGGCGCUUUGUCACACGCAGCUCGCCACGGCCCCCGGCCCUCCCAGAGGGUGCCCCGGAGAAGCUUUCAAAGCAGACAGCCCCUCUGUUAGCAGCUCUCUUCCAGCCGCGGUGGGCGAGGGAAUGAGAGAGGGAACGUCCGAUGAUUACUUCCUUAUGGCCCUCACAUUCUUCAAGUAUAUUCCCUACACCCGCUGGAACGCUGCUGCAUUCUUGAGUCCUUCCUUCCCUCUCAGAGCACUGUCUUGUAUUGACACGCCGCUAAAAGGACACAGGAGCAGGACCGGCCUCCCCUCCCUCCGCGCGCGCCCCUCCUUCGCCAUGGCCGUGCUCUCUCCACGCCCGCCGUGCCUUGUUCUCUUUCUAAGAAUGCAAUAAACAUUUCAGCACGA